rnacentral:rRNA from 1 species
AUUGAACGCUGGCGGCAGGCCUAACACAUGCAAGUCGAACGAGUGGCGGACGGGUGAGUAAUUUCUGUGAAACUGCCCGCUGGAGGGGGAUAACUACUGGAAACUGUAGCUAAUACCGCCUACCAUCGGAUGUUCACAGAUUGUAUUAGCUAGUAGGUGGGGUAACGGCUCACCUAGGCGACGAUCCCUAGCUGGUCUGAGAGGAUGACCAGUAACACUGGAACUGAGACAAGGGCCAGACUCCUACGGGAGGCAGCAGUGGGGAAUAUUGCACAAUGGGCGCAAGCCGGAUGCAGCCAUGCCGCGUGUAUGAAGAAGGCCUGCGGGUUGUAAAGUACUUUCAGCGAGGAGGCGUUACUCGCAGAAGAAGCACCGGCUAACUCCGUGCCAGCAGCCGCGGUAAUUC